rnacentral:rRNA from 1 species
CCCUUAGAUGUUCUGGGCAGCACGCGCGCUACAAUGGUCUUCGCAAACGGAUGCAUUCUCGAAGGAGAAUGCCAAUCUUGGAAUCUAUGCCUUGGUCGGGACAGUUGCUUGCAAUUUUUCGACUCGAACCAGGAAUUCCUUGUAAUCGUGAUUCAUCACAUCACGAUGAAUACGUCCCUGCCCUUUGUACACACCGCCCGUCGCUCCUACCGAUCGAAGAGUUAGGUGAAUUGUUUUAAUCGAUAAGAUUUGACUAUGGUCAACUCUCGUUGUGAAAUUCUGUGAAUCUGACUGUUUAGAGGAAGGAAAAGUCGUAACA